AAGAGCAAACUCACGAUCUGUUGAGUGCCUGAAUCAUACAAGACAUUGAAGUACUGCAGAAUCAUUUUAACACUUCUAUUCUAAAGUACAAGGUCUGAAAUAUCUGUGUCCAGUGCCCACAGGACCACAUCUGUCUAGAAAGUAGAACUAACUGUAUCUACUCGAUUAAAAUCAUUGAUCAUUCAAGCAAAAUGAAAAAGUAUACAGGUAAACUCAGUUGCCCAAGAUUAUAAACUUCUGCUAGAUUACAUACGGCUUCACCAACUCAAUCACCCAUUUAUCUAAAUACACCUUUACUUUCAAGGAUUCAUUUGGUUUUCACAAAUAAAUUUGACUAUAGCACAACAAAUGCCAGAUUACAAUAACAAAGAUUCCAGCCACUAUAUACCUGCCAAAAUAUAGCUUUUUGAU
rnacentral:misc_RNA from 1 species